rnacentral:tRNA from 1 species
GGCCGGAUGGCAGAGUGGUGAUGCAGAGGACUGCAAAUCCUCGUACAGCGGUUCGAUUCCGCUUCCGGCCUCCA